rnacentral:misc_RNA from 1 species
CAGAACAACUGUUUCGAGGGCUCGUUCGAAUUUGUAAAGAUGGAAAUGGAGAAAGCAUGUGAAUUUUGCAUGUUAUUGAAGCCAGUGGUGUAUUGUGAAGCUGAUGCAGCACAUCUUUGUUUAUCUUGUGAUGCUAAAGUUCAUUCAGCUAAUGCCCUCUCUAAUCGUCAUCCUCGUACUCUUGUCUGCGAGUGUUGUGGACACAACCCUGCUUAUAUUCGAUGUUCUGAUCAUCAAACGUUCAUGUGUCGUGACUGUGACCGAUGCCAUCAUGAUCUCUCUUCUCAACACCAGAGAAAAGUG